AAACCAGGUGAUCUCUGCGGGUGACUCAGCUGCUUUGGUUUGGAACCGAAGCAGGAACCUGCCUUUGUGAAAUGGGGACAAUAAAAACAUUUCCCCCUUCACUGCCCCACCCUUGUCUCUCCACUUACGAGGCUGGCGGGAGCGCUCGUUAGCCUGUAAACUGCUUCUGGUCUUCCUUGGAGAGUGACAUCUGAUGGAGACUCAGGCCAGUGAAGGUGGAAAUAGCGUGAGGCUCAGUCUUGGAGAACGAGUGGUCCUGGGAUCGAUAUUUGUGCCUGAAUCCACGAGUCGAAUGAGGUUGUUCCAGGCCUGAAAGGGACGCACAAGACUUCUGUUAACAUCUCAGUGGCAAAAAUUCAUCUUUGGCUACAUCUGGGCAUAGGAGGCGCUGGAAAAAGGAAUGCAUGUUUGAGCAGCUGUCUUUUAUCAACAACUUCACACUGUGGAAGAGGAAACAUGAUUUUUGGUGGGCCGAUAGCCAUCUCUUUUGUAAAAGUAUCAUCAUCAUCAUCCCCAUUUUUGGAUGGGGAAACUGAGGCUCCAGUGCUGAAGUAACUCACCCAAGGUCUGUAGCUGGUAAGUGGUGGAGGCAGGAUUUGAACCCAGGUAGUCCAGCUGCAAAUCCCACGUGCUUGCCACUGCAUCCAGCUAGCUCACAGCGACGAGCAAGGCGCUAUACCUUCCACUGUCAAGAAAAAGAUGAUGUCAGACACGUCCUUGACAUUUUAUUUUCAAGAAUAUAGCACUUGAAACAAGCUAAAUAAGCACUUGAAAGCAGUGCUUUCACAGUCCUUCAAAGUUAGAGCUCAAUUGCCACCUUUUCAGCGGGGCCUUCUCUGCUCCCCUUGUCUUCCAGCCACCCUGCACUCCAGGUGCUCCAUUUCAUGUAACCUUGUGUAUCCCUUUUCUUCAUAGAGCCAUCGCUGUCUAAAAUCAGGCGCAUGUUUGUUUCCUUGUGGAUCUGCUAUCUCCCUGACUAGAACAUAAACUCCCUGAAAGCAGGGAGCUGGUCAGUCUUGCUCACUUUGUAUCCCAGUGCACACUGCAGAGCCGGGUACAUAGUAAAUCCUCAAUAAAUUUUUGUGAAAUGAAUGAGUAGGCAUAUUUACAAAGUGCUGUGGGAGCAGAUACAUUCAUUUAUUCAUUCUCAUAUUCAUUCACUCACAUAUUAGUUACCCAUUUGUUCAUUCAUUCAUUCAUAGACUUUCUCAAAUGCCUGAUCUGAGGAUAGAGGGAUGAUAGUCUAUGGUCUAAGGGUAGCUUGUGAAACCCUGGAAGGCUUCCUGUAGGUGGUGAUGUUAGAGUUGGAGGGAGUAUUGAAUUGUGAGUUGGGGAAGAGGUUGUCACGUUACGUCUUUUGACACUUUUACAUCUUCACUUGACCUGUACCAAGUGCAUUGCUGCCACUGGCUUUGUAAAUGACCGUCGGUCAGUAAGGAGACCAGCCUGGCUGCCACUUUCUGACUGCAAACCUAAACUGCAUAAACAGGAGAAUAAAGAGCAGAGAAUGGACUCACAGCGGGACAAGGUGGGUUUGUCCUUUCUGUUGCACUUGGAGGGGGCCAAGGUCAGGUUCUAGGGUCAUAGGAAAGGGCUGGCGGCUGUCUUUAGCCUAUAAAUAAGAUGACCCAGCCAUCCAUGUGAUGGUCAGCUCAUCCCAAAUUCCUGAUGCCACAGCAAUGCCAAUGUUACAGCUGUAAGCAUGAGCGUCCCUAAGGAGAGGUGCUCAAUGUUUUUCUCAAAAAUCUGAAUUCUUACUCUUCAAUUUUCUUUUUGGGCAAGUCAAACCAAUAGGUAUGGCAGCUACCCCAUUUCUGAUACUGAUGAAUAUGCUCAGAUAACGUCACAAGUGGCAUGCCUGGCAUGAUCAAAAUGAGAGUCAGCUGCUGGAGGAAUGAAGUAUUUGACCUUUCCCCAUAAGAGGCUGCUCCAGUCCCGGCAUUGUGAGUUCUGGCGCUCAGGGAGCUUUAGGAAAGAGGUCCAGGUGUUCCAGGGCUGUUCACAUCUUUUUGGGGACAUUUUUCUUAUUACCAUUGUAGUAAAAUUUCAGUGUCUGAAAACUACAAAAAUACAAACGUCCAACAAUGCAAACAAAAGAAAAGAAAAAUCACCUCCAUUUUUCAAGGGCCCGGAGGUGACCAGCUUAGCAUUUUGACAUGUUCUUUCAUUCUUUCUGUGCAUGUAUGUGUGUGUCUUUUUAUACAGAAAUGGCACCCCUACCUCUUUACAAACUGCUUUUUUCACCUAAUAACACACUAUAUACAUUAUUCCAAUCCAUUUCUUUUUUUGUUUGUUUGUUUGUUUUUUGAGGAAGAUCAGCCCUGAGCUAACAUC